CCUACGGGUGGCAGCAGUGAGGAAUAUUGGUCAAUGGACGAGAGUCUGAACCAGCCAAGUAGCGUGAAGGAUGACUGCCCUAUGGGUUGUAAACUUCUUUUAUAAAGGAAUAAAACGAGGCACGUGUGCCUUUUUGCAUGUACUUUAUGAAUAAGGAUCGGCUAACUCCGUGCCAGCAGCCGCGGUAAUACGGAGGAUCCGAGCGUUAUCCGGAUUUAUUGGGUUUAAAGGGAGAGUAGAUGGGUUGUUAAGUCAGUUGUGAAAGUUUGCGGCUCAACCGUAAAAGUGCAAUUGAUACUGGAAGUCUUGAGUACAGUUGAGGUAGGUGGAAUUCGUGGUGUAGCGGUGAAAUGCUUAGAUAUCACGAAGAACCCCGAUUGCGAAGGCAGCUUACUAAACUGUGACUGACAUUGAUGCUCGAAAGUGUGGGUAUCAAACAGGAUUAGAUACCCCAGUAGUC
rnacentral:rRNA from 1 species